CAGUCGCCGCGGUAAUACGUAUGUCGCGAGCGUUAUCCGGAAUUAUUGGGCAUAAAGGGCAUCUAGGCGGCCGGAUAAGUCUGUGGUGAAAACUUGCGGCUCAACCGCAAGCCUGCCCUGGAAACUAUGCGGCUAGAGUACUGGAGAGGUGGACGGAACUGCACGAGUAGAGGUGAAAUUCGUAGAUAUGUGCAGGAAUGCCGAUGAUGAAGAUAGUUCUCUGGCCUGUAACUGACGCUGAGGCUCGAAAGCGUGGGGAGCAAACAGGAUUAGAUACCCGUGUAGUCCCUGUCUCUUAUAA
rnacentral:rRNA from 1 species